rnacentral:miRNA from 1 species
UGAAUUUUGAAUUUUAUAUUAAAAUGAAUAUUUUUAGUAUGUCCCAUGCAAUAUUUGGGGCAUACUUAUACUAAAAAAUUAUUUGGUGUUUAUUAGAAAUUUAUGUUUAG